CCUACGGGAGGCAGCAGUGAGGAAUAUUGGUCAAUGGACGAGAGUCUGAACCAGCCAAGUAGCGUGAAGGAUGACUGCCCUAUGAGUUGUAAACUUCUUUUAUAUGGGAAUAAACUGUUCCACGUGUGGGAUUUUGUAUGUACCGUAUGAAUAAGGAUCGGCUAACUCCGUGCCAGCAGCCGCGGUAAUACGGAGGAUCCGAGCGUUAUCCGGAUUUAUUGGGUUUAAAGGGAGCGUAGGUGGACUGUUAAGUCAGUUGUGAAAGUUUGAGGCUCAACCGUAAAAUUGCAGUUGAUACUGGUAGGCUAGAGGAUAGUAGAGGUAGGCGGAAUGUGUGGUGUAGCGGUGAAAUGCUUAGAUAUCAUGAAGAACUCCGAUUGCGAAGGCAGUUCACUGGACUGCAACUGACAUUGAGGCUCGAAAGUGUGGGUAUCAAACAGGAUUAGAUACCCCUGUAGUC
rnacentral:rRNA from 1 species